CGGGUGAAUGGGACUGAUUCCGAUGGCGGCUAUCAUCCGUUGCGACAUCGGUUCAUCACCGAUUUGCUCGGC
rnacentral:tRNA from 1 species